UACGUAGGUGGCAAGCGUUGUCCGGAUUUACUGGGCGUAAGGAGCGCGCAGGCGGCUGGUCAAGUCCGAUGUGAAAUCUCCCGGCUCAACUGGGAACUGCAUUUGUGACUGCAUGGCUAGAGUACGGUAGAGGGGGAUGGAAUUCCGCGUGUAGCAGUGAAAUGCGUAGAGUAUGCGGAGGAACACCGAUGGCGAAGGCAGCCUCCUGGGAUAACACUGACGCUCAGGCGACGAAAGCGUGGGGAGCAAACAGG
rnacentral:rRNA from 1 species